CCAUUAGCUGUGCUGCUAGGUGCCGGGCUUAGAGGAGUAGAAGACGGGAGAGCCAGCUGCCGCCUGCUGGAAGCUGGAGUCUGCACUGCGGUUCGGUUCGCCUUGCUGCAGCUCACCUCACUGUGGUUGGCGGUAGCCAUGGAGUCAUGCCCCUGGAGCGACUUUACCUUGUGGGUUCACAGGGGAGACUACUGUUGCUAAACCCUGCUGAGCGUCGUUUCUGGUGGGCAGAAUUGACAAGCCACCUGCUUCUUCACUACUCCUGACUCAUCUCUGCAGAGCAGACACACCUCACUUUUUGGGCAUCAUUGAAGAAUGUUCUGGUGUCCCCUGUCCUGGGUGUGAUCACAGGAAUGCUCAUCCUCAUCCUUGUCCCAGCCACUAAGAGAGGCCAUGCCAACUAGCUUGGGGACCAGCUCAAGGCCUGGACCUCAUGGCUCCGAGAUAUGAAGGCCCCGAUCCGAAACCUCAUCUUCGGGGCCAUCACCUGCAAUACGGGCUUCCUGGGCAUGGUCACGGGUACGGGAGC